AGUAAAUAGAUACCCAGGUAGUCCACGCCGUAAACGAUGAAUACUAGGUGUAGGGGUUGUCAUGACCUCUGUGCCGCCGCUAAACGCAUUAAGUAUUCCGCCUGGGGAGUACGGUCGCAAGAUUAAAACUCAAAGGAAUUGACGGGGGCCCGCACAAGCAGCGGAGCAUGUGGUUUAAUUCGAAGCAACGCGAAGAACCUUACCUAGACUUGACAUCUCCUGAAUUACCCUUAAUCGGGGAAGUCCCUUCGGGGACAGGAAGACAGGUGGUGCAUGGUUGUCGUCAGCUCGUGUCGUGAGAUGUUGGGUUAAGUCCCGCAACGAGCGCAACCCUUAUUGUUAGUUGCUACCAUUUAGUUGAGCACUCUAGCGAGACUGCCGUGGUUAACGCGGAGGAAGGUGGGGAUGACGUCAAAUCAUCAUGCCCCUUAUGUCUAGGGCUACACACGUGCUACAAUGGUCGGUACAGAGAGAUGCUAAACCGUGAGGUGGAGCCAAACUUUAAAACCGAUCUCAGUUCGGAUUGUAGGCUGAAACUCGCCUAC
rnacentral:rRNA from 1 species